rnacentral:misc_RNA from 1 species
AAGUCGUAACAAGGUCUCCGUUGGUGAACCAGCGGAGGGAUCAUUACAGAGUUGCAAAACUCCCUAAACCAUUGUGAACCUUACCACUAAACAGUUGCUUCGGCGGGUGGCGCGAGGGCCUCCUCUUCACGGGGGGGGCCGGACCGCCCUAGACAGCCCGCCGGAGGUACUCAAACUCUUUGUUUUAAUUAAGGCCUCUCUGAGUAUUGUACUUAAAUAAGUCAAAACUUUCAACAACGGAUCUCUUGGUUCUG